UAAUACCGGGAGAAGUAGCGAUGUCGCAUGGCGUUGCUACCAAACGGUCCGCCGCCGGGGGAGCGGCUCACGUGGUAUUAGCUUGUUGGUGAGGUAACGGCUCACCAAGGCUAAGAUGCCUAGCAGGUGUGAGAGCACGACCUGCGCCACUGGCACUGAGACACUGGCCAGACACCUACGGGUGGCUGCAGUCGAGGAUCUUCGGCAAUGGGCGCAAGCCUGACCGAGCGACGCCGCGUGUGCGAUGAAGGCCUUCGGGUUGUAAAGCACUGUCGAGGGGGAGGAAGCCGCAAGGUUGACCUAUCCCUGGAGGAAGGACGGGCUAAGUUCGUGCCA
rnacentral:rRNA from 1 species